AAAAAGGUUUUACACAGUGAAAGAAACCAUCAACAGAAUGAGAAAAGAUAUUU
rfam:Pteropus alecto contig43260, whole genome shotgun sequence.